rfam:Mus musculus chromosome 11, GRC primary reference assembly.
ACCGCUGAGCCAUCUCUCUAGCCCCAAAUUAAAUAAUUCUUAAGAAUAAAUAAAUAGGGCUGGAGAGAUGGCUCAGCGGU